rnacentral:rRNA from 1 species
UACAGAGGGAGCAAGCGUUGUUCGGAAUUACUGGGCGUAAAGGGCGCGUAGGCGGUUCGAUAAGUCCCGUGUGAAAUCCCUCGGCUCAACUGAGGAAUUGCACGGGAAACUGACGGGCUUGAGUUCGGGAGAGGGAAGCGGAAUUCCGGGUGUAGCGGUGAAAUGCGUAGAUAUCCGGAGGAACACCGGUGGCGAAGGCGGCUUCCUGGACCGAUCUGACGCUGAGCGCGAAGC